rnacentral:tRNA from 1 species
UCCGAAGUCGUCUAACGGUAGGACACGACGCCUUGAACGUCGCGAUGUUGGUUCGAUCCCAGCCUUCGGAG